rnacentral:rRNA from 1 species
GUGAACGCUGGCGGCGUGCCUAACACAUGCAAGUUGAGCGGGCUUUAGCGGCACAUUGCUAGAGCUAGCGGCAAACGGGUGAGUAAUACGUGAGAAACCUGCCUCAGAAUGGGGAAUACCCCCGAGAAAUCGGGGUUAAUACCGCAUAAGACCACAGUCUGGCAUCAGACAGGGGUCAAAGGAGCAAUUCGUUCUGAGAUGGUCUCGCGUCCUAUCAGCUAGUUGGUGAGGUAACGGCCCACCAAGGCUAUGACGGGUAUCCGGCCUGAAAGGGCGAUCGGACACACUGGAACUGAGACACGGUCCAGACUCCUACGGGAGGCAGCAGUGGGGAAUUUUGGACAAUGGGCGAAAGCCUGAUCCAGCGACGCCGCGUGGAGGACGAAGGUCUUCGGAUUGUAAACUCCUUUUAGAGGGGACGAAAUAAAUGACGGUACCCUCAGAAAAAGCCACGGCUAACUACGU